AGUUUUGCACAGUGGCAGUAUCGUAGCCAGUGAGCUUUACCCGAGGCGCGAAUAUUGCUAGUUAAAUAUUUAUAAAAACCUUUCGAGCAGCGCCUGAACAAGAAUAGGUUAAGAGGAGCUCCGGUAGUCUUGAGUUUGGGCUUGUCCCA
rnacentral:snRNA from 1 species